rnacentral:rRNA from 1 species
AGAGUUUGAUCCUGGCUCAGGAUGAACGCUGGCGGCGUGCCUAACACAUGCAAGUCGAACGGGGUCAUCAACAUGAAGUUUUCGGAUGGAUUGAUGAUGACUUAGUGGCGGACGGGUGAGUAACGCGUGGGUAACCUGCCCCAUACAGGGGGAUAACAGCCGGAAACGGCUGCUAAAACCGCAUAACAUUGCGCCACCGCAUGGAGGUGCAAUUAAAUAUUUAUAGGUAUGGGAUGGGCCCACGUCUGAUUAGCUAGUUGGCAGGGUAAAGGCCUACCAAGGCGACGAUCAGUAGCCGGCUUGAGAGAGUGACCGGCCACAUUGGGACUGAGACACGGCCCAAACUCCUACGGGAGGCAGCAGUGGGGAAUAUUGCACAAUGGGGGAAACCCUGAUGCAGCGACGCCGCGUGAGUGAAGAAGUACUUCGGUAUGUAAAGCUCUAUCAGCAGGGAAGAAGAUGACGGUACCUGACUAAGAAGCCCCGGCUAACUACGUGCCAGCAGCCGCGGUAAUACGUAGGGGGCAAGCGUUAUCCGGAUUUACUGGGUGUAAAGGGAGCGUAGGUGGUGUGGUAAGUCAGAUGUGAAAGCCCGGGGCUCAACCCCGGGACUGCAUUUGAAACUAUCAUGCUUGAGUACAGGAGAGGUAAGUGGAAUUCCUAGUGUAGCGGUGAAAUGCGUAGAUAUUAGGAGGACACCAGUGGCGAAGGCGGCUUACUGGACUGUAACUGACACUGAGGCUCGAAAGCGUGGGGAGCAAACAGGAUUAGAUACCCUGGUAGUC